rnacentral:rRNA from 1 species
GGGUUGUGAGGUUAAGCGACUAAGCGUACACGGUGGAUGCCCUGGCAGUCAGAGGCGAUGAAGGACGUGCUAAUCUGCGAAAAGCGCCGGUAAGGUGAUAUGAACCGUUAUAACCGGCGAUGUCCGAAUGGGGAAACCCAGUGUGACUCGUCACACUAUCAUUAACUGAAUCCAUAGGUUAAUGAGGCGAACCGGGGGAACUGAAACAUCUAAGUACCCCGAGGAAAAGAAAUCAACCGAGAUUCCCCCAGUAGCGGCGAGCGAACGGGGAGGAGCCCAGAGCCUGAAUCAGCAUGUGUGUUAGUGGAAGCGUCUGGAAAGGCGCGCGAUACAGGGUGACAGCCCCGUACACAAAAGCGCACAUGCUGUGAGCUCGAUGAGUAGGGCGGGACACGUGGUAUCCUGUCUGAAUAUGGGGGGACCAUCCUCCAAGGCUAAAUACUCCUGACUGACCGAUAGUGAACCAGUACCGUGAGGGAAAGGCGAAAAGAACCCCGGCGAGGGGAGUGAAAAAGAACCUGAAACCGUGUACGUACAAGCAGUGGGAGCACAGGUUUACCUGUGUGACUGCGUACCUUUUGUAUAAUGGGUCAGCGACUUAUAUUCUGUAGCAAGGUUAACCGAAUAGGGGAGCCGGAGGGAAACCGAGUCUUAACCGGGCGUUAAGUUGCAGGGUAUAGACCCGAAACCCGGUGAUCUAGCCAUGGGCAGGUUGAAGGUUGGGUAACACUAACUGGAGGACCGAACCGACUAAUGUUGAAAAAUUAGCGGAUGACCUGUGGCUGGGGGUGAAAGGCCAAUCAAACCGGGAGAUAGCUGGUUCUCCCCGAAAGCUAUUUAGGUAGCGCCUCGUGAACUCAUCUCCGGGGGUAGAGCACUGUUUCGGCCAGGGGGUCAUCCCGACUUACCAACCCGAUGCAAACUGCGAAUACCGGAGAAUGUUAUCACGGGAGACACACGGCGGGUGCUAACGUCCGUCGUGAAGAGGGAAACAACCCAGACCGCCAGCUAAGGUCCCAAAGUCAUGGUUAAGUGGGAAACGAUGUGGGAAGGCCCAGACAGCCAGGAUGUUGGCUUAGAAGCAGCCAUCAUUUAAAGAAAGCGUAAUAGCUCACUGGUCGAGUCGGCCUGCGCGGAAGAUGUAACGGGGCUAAACCAUGCACCGAAGCUGCGGCAGCGACACUGUGUGUUGUUGGGUAGGGGAGCGUUCUGUAAGCCUGCGAAGGUGUGU